rnacentral:rRNA from 1 species
UACGAAGGGGGCGAGCGUUGUUCGGAAUCACUGGGCGUAAAGGGCGCGUAGGCGGCACUGUUAGUCAGGCGUGAAAGUCCUGGGCUCAACCUGGGAACUGCGCUUGAUACGGCAGAGCUAGAGGAUGGAAGAGGGUCGCGGAAUUCCCAGUGUAGAGGUGAAAUUCGUAGAUAUUGGGAAGAACACCGGUGGCGAAGGGCGGCGAACCUGGUCCAUUACUGACGCUGAGGCGCGACAGCGUGGGGAGCAAACAGG